GUUGGUUUUUGUUGGUUUUCGUUUGCUUGUUUGUUUGGGGUUUUUGGUUAGUUGGUUGGUUUUUUGGUUGGAGUUUUUUUAGGUUUCUUGUUGUUUUCAUUAGCUUUCCAGCUCAGUAAGGUUUUUAGCAGUUUUGAAAUUUUCUGUGAUCCUGGUGAUUGUGUUUUCUGUAGCCAUUAUUAAAUGGAUUUGGAAAAGCUACUCUUGUCACCCAGCUGGGAGUGGGUGAUGAGGACCAUGGGCUUUUUGGGCUAUUAAUGAACCCUUCAGAGAGUGGUAGGCAUUUCAGCCAGUCUCUUAUGCACUACAUAUGGGUUUUAGACUCCAUAGACUGGCUUGGCUUGGAAGGAAGGAACCAAGAUUAUCUCAUUCUGUCACUUGAAUGCCCAAACUAACUAGCAUGAAUCCUUUUUGAUGGCACUUUUACUAAAAUUUCGAUAAUUCUUACUUGUAAGAGCCUAAUGUAUUACUUAUUAGAGCUUAUUAAACAUUGUUCAGAAAUUGGCUUUUAUGGUAAAAAAAAAAAAAAAAAUCAAAUCAGCUUGUCACAGCUCUUAGCCAGAACUGUCCCAGAGAAUUACAGACUCCAGUACUUUGUGACUUCCUUCAUGUCAGGCUCUGCCAGAAGCCAGCUAAAGGCUCUGGAGGUCUCUUUGCACAGGUUUUUUUACUGUUAAGGAUGCUGCCCGAGACCUGCAUACAGCAAAGAGCUGGGAACAGUUCUUUGUGCCCACACAUCACAGUUUGACAGGAAGCUCUGGAGAUUAUCGUGUCCAGCCCUCUUGCUCAAAGCAGGAUCAGACUGCUCAGGACUAUGUCCUGUGGGGUUUUUGGAAACCUAGCGUGAUGGAAACUCAACAACCUUUUCCAGUGACCACCUGUGCAUUAUUUUUUUUUUUUCUUCUUUCCUAGUAUGUGCUGUGUUUUCUGGUUUUUCUCUUGGUUUGUUUUGGAUGUGAAAUAAAAAUACUAUAUUGAGAAGAGGUUCACAAUGACAUGAGAACAAACCACAGGGAAGAAGCACAAAUUUAGUGAGAACAAAGUGUUGUAGCUGCAGUGUUGCCAGAAAUAGGGAUAUUUGUUUUCCUCUCCAGACUUCAGCUUGUUCAGUUCUCCCUGCAGCCACUUCAGGACUGCAGAGACACAGGCUACUAACAAAACACUGUCAUCAGAUGUCACUUUCUAGUAUUUCUUAAUAUUAAAAAGGUGUCAAGAGGAAGAUUGGAAUGCUUGGAAAUGUUUUCCAACUGCAUCAAUCUACAGGUGGAUGCAAUAGCUGUUACUGAGCAUUGUGCAGCCUUAGUUUUUGCAUGAAAAUAUAUAAUAUAGAUCUAUAGGUGACCACAGUGCAGUUUUAGCUCUUGAUUUAUGCCUUUUGUUCAAAUAUACCAUGUAAAUGUGACACAUCUGAGCCCAGAAUUACUAAUUUGAGAACUGGACGCCUGUCUUCCCUGUGAAGCAGGGAUUUUGGUCAGGGUGGAGCCUUGCUAGAGCCAUUCUUUGAAGAUGCACAUACUCAUUUGGUUGCAGAUUGUGUUCCCCUCUGAGCUUGUCCUGAGGCAUGCAUGAGUUCUCCUGCAAUAAAUAGAAUUGAGGAGACCGAAAUCAUAAGAAAAAUCUGCCAAAACAUCUUAGCCCAGGAAGAUGCUGCAAAGCAGAGCUUGCUAAGUACAGAGAACACAGGAUAAGGCUUUACUACAAAUAAUUGUUAUCAAAUGGCUGUAUUGUAAAUAAUUGCUAUGAAAUUGAACUGAUAGUAGGGCGUGGACUCAGUGAGCAACUGCCUCGUCUGAUCAACCACUGUGAAAGUAGUGCAGGGCUUGGGGUUACUUUUGGUUAGGGUUAGCACAGGUGCUUUAUGGAAGCUUAUUUCAUGGAAAUAAAAUAGGAACCUCAAGCUGAAAUAAACGAGUUGAGGAACAGGAGUUGCAAACUUUAAAUUUGAGGGUAAAUGUAACCUGGAUCCUUUAAAUUCUUUCAAUCAAAGUGCAGAUGGCACAAGAACAACUCUGGCCCCAGAGCUUUAGUCCCAUUGCAAAAGUUGGGUAGAAGAGUUGAUCUGGUAAGUUUUUUUUAUUUGGAUGUACUUGGUAUGUACAGAUGGAAUGUGGGAAACAGUGGUGUACAGAUGUCAGCAGGAGAACUGGAGGGGAACUACCAAAAUCCCCUCCAGAGAGCUGUAGCUCCUGUUACGGUGAGACAGCCACGGUUUGCACAUCACCUAGAUGGUUGAUUUGGUAGUGGUACCCUUGUUUGCAAAACUUAUAAGAACUCAAAAAGUUACCAAGUUUCUGACUGAGAUGGGCUAUGCUCCCCAUUACCUCUUUUCUCCUUACCUUCCAUGCCUAGAGAAAAAAGUUUAAAUUACCCAACUUCAUUCUUAAAACUACUGGAAAUCAUGUUUCCUGUCCAACAACUCUUUUAGGAGAGUGAGGUUCAUUUUCAUUACAAAUCACAGUCUUGAUCUUGGUUCAGGCAGAAAGGGUGUCCUUUGUGUGAUUUCCAAAGGACUUCAUGAUUUCCCUUUCGCUUUUUCUCUGUCCUUUCCUUUCUGGACUUUGUGGUCAUAUUGCAGUUAUCUACAGCCUAGAGACUAGCAGGACAGUAGUAAUGUAAGGAAUGGAGGUUCUUAGGUCAAAUCUAAAUUAAGUUCCCCUUGGAAAUUGCCAAUAAAUUCUUUAGUUAGUUAGGAUGACUGUAGAAAAGCAUGAGACAGCUUCCCUCAACAUAGGCCUAAAAGAUCUGGAUUUCCUUGCCAUGGAGGCUGCCUCACAGAACUGAGGUUUGCUGUGGGAUGGGACACUGGAACAGGCUGCCUACAGAAAUGGUGGAAUCACUAUUCCUGGAAGUGUCUGAAAGAUGUGAACAUGGCUUGGUUGUGAAUAUGGCAGUGCUGGAGUAACAAUGCGACUCAAUAAUCUUUUCCAAGCUAAACAAUUGUGCAGUUUUUGAUUUGGAGGAGGGCAUGUGACACUCUGAAUGCAUGGCACAGACCAAGGUGCUGAUGUUGUGUUACACAUGCACUAAUUCUUUGGAGAGACGCAUGAGCUACUGCACAGGUCAGUGGAGUUCACGGGGCCAUUGAAAAGCAGUGGAAGAAAGAGAAUGCCUUCUGUAGCCUGGUGAGGACAGCAGGUGAAAUGACACAUGAACUUGGAAACUUCAGGUUGUCAAUCACACCCCUGAGAGGUGUGGAGACAUCAACCAUGCAAUCAUUGCGAUUCUCCCGUGGGAUUUGUGAAGACUCCUGGAUGUGAUGAAAUUAAGCAGUACUGAAGCAAAGACAGACAUUAUAAUGACCCCCCAAGGACUGUGGAGUCUCCUGUGAGGAAGCUAAUGCGUUUUCAUCCUUCACCUUUUUUUUUUGGCUACACAGUCCUCCACGAAUAAAUGAGUCCACACUACAAAUACAUUCCCCAUUGCCAGACAUCCCAUUUGCUGCUGCAUCCUAUGACAACUUAAAACAACGACAGCUCCUGCAUUAUUUUUUGAGCUCCCUCAUAAACCCUGGAGUAUAAUAGGCAAUGGAAACACCAGGAUGCACUUGGACAGCUUGGAUUUUAUUCCUAUGGAAAAUGGUGAUUGUUCCUCUUACAGACUUAAGAAACUGUUUCUAACUUAUGUUUCAACUUUUUGGCUUGAUGUUUUAUGAAAAUUCAAAGUCUUUUGAUUUCAGCUCUCUUUUUGUAAUGUUCCACCCAUCCUGCUGAUCAUAAUAUUUCUUGUAGAGUCACAAGUUUCCACCAAACCAGUGCAAGAAGCCCAAUGAAACAGAAUAGUCUCACUUCUGAAAUUCUGGUGUGUGUCCUUCUGGUGUGACUUGUCCAUCAGACUUGUCUUGUGCUUCCCUUGGCCAGAUGUGUUUUCUAAUGGCAACUUAAAAUAAUACUCACUAUUGCUGCUGUUGGAGUAUCACCAAAAAUGUUUUUUGGUACUUAAUUUCUGCAUUUAAUUUCUUGAUACCAAAAUACAUUUUCCAACUGGGGUUUGGGGGUGGUUAGUGUAGCUGUCUUCUGGUUUGGCUUGGCAGGAGCCCAGCCUACAGAGGUCCAUAACAUGUUCCAUGCUGUGCACAGUGCCUUGGCUACAGCUUUGCUCCUCUUAGUUUGUGGCUGUAAUGUCCCCAUUUUGCUAUUGUGGGGUGUUCAAAUUUGUCCUGUUCUUUCACAAACAUUUUGAAAAAUUUCUUCUUAAUGCUAGUGCCUUGUGUUGGUCCAUCUUCUCCUCACCAGAGGAGUCACCAUGGGGACUCCUCAACCUCACUCCUGCUUCCUUUUCCUUACAGUCUCACAUUAGCACACAUAUUUAGUUUUCUGUUAUUAUUAUUUACUGUUUUAUUACUACUCGGGUAACACCAGUGCCUUCUGAACUACGUAGGAUACAGCUUGUUUAUGUAACAGAAAAGCAAGGAGUCUCUGCAAUUUCUAAUGCUCUGAGGACAAAGAGUAGCUCAGGGCCAUGAGUAGUGUGGAUAGGUUAAACAACAAAACUAAAGGCAAAUUAUACUCUGGAUUUCACAGAACCAUAGAAAGGCUUGGGUUGGAAGGGACCUUUGAAAUCAUCUCAUUCUGACCUCCCUGCCAUGGGAACACAUUCCACUAGACCAGGUUGCUCCAAGCUGCAUCCAGCUGGCCUUGAACACUUCCAGAGAUGGGACAGCCACAGCUUCUCUGCACAACUUGUGCCAGGGCCUCACCACUCGCUGGGAAAUGAGUUUCUAAUCUAAAAUUCUUCUCUUUUAAAACCAUUGUCCCUGAUCCUCCCUGGAUUUCCAUGGGUUUCUCUGCCACAGCUUCAAUUUCUGCUUGCUUUCAGGUACAGCUACUCAGAAUUCAUUGUUUCAUAUGAAAAAAGUGAAUAGUUUUGCCAAAAUAAUGGAACUUGAUUGUAAUGGAAGUGAAGAAAGACUGCUGUUUGGAAAAGAGUGAUUAUUUUAAUUGGAUGCUUCAUUUUUGAAACAUGAGCUCAUGAGUUCAUAUGUUUCUGGUUUUCUUUUAUGAAUGGUGAAGGAUUUUGCUGGCAGAAAAACGUACGUGAAUUUUAAAUUCAACAUAUGAUUUCACUCUGUCCCCCUCAAAAACAUACAAUUAUUGACGUAGACGACAAAUCAAAGGGUCAGGUGUCUUUAUUGGAUGCCACCUGCACGAAGCUCUCUAGGAAUGCAGCCAGGCCUCUCCAGCCAUGCUGUAAGCUGUCUCUUGUUUUUCCAGGAGUGUAAACAAUCCCAUGCAGAUGUGUCACAGAAAACCUAAGCCAGGACAGCCCAAACUGCAUUGUGCUAUAAAUGGUUUCCUGUGAAGAACAAUACCUAAUCAGUUUUUAUGUUGCAAUUUGAGCGUGGGGGCAGGCCAGUCUUCUUCCUGAUCUUUUGACAAAAUAAAUAGCUCAAAAAAAUCAAGUUAAUACCAGAAAACCCCAAAUUAUUUAAUUUGGUUAUGCCAUGUACCAAGACACUAUAAAUACGAGUUUUUCACUAUGAGAAUGAAUUCUUCACUAUGGGGUGCAAGUAGAUGAUCUUUAAGGUCCCUUCCAACCCAAAUCAUUCUAUGAUUCUAUAUGUCAAAUUGAAUAAAAAUAAUUAUGCUUCUGCAUUUAAUUUCUUGUUCUGCUGUUCACGCAUCUCCCAUAUUCUGCUUUUACAGGUGAACUUUUGUAAUAGAACUUUUAAGCACAAAAGGCUUGUGCUGAAGCAGGAAGACUAUGCUGUAUCUGAAUGAUGGGAACAUCACCUAGCAAUGACCAGUUUUGUAUCAGUACUGAACUGCCAGUCUAAAAGCCACAAGGAAGUGUUGUUAUUUUGGGGGAAAAUGUGUUAACUUCACCAGACUGUUCAGAUGGUGGGAAAUACAGGUGGACCAGCUGUGUCUUCCAAGUUGAGAAGUAUGCAGGAGUCCUUUUCAUGUAGCCUAUGGAAAAAACCCACAUGAAUGGCUGUAGUGGACCAAUAUCUUACCUCUCAUCAGGACCCAUCCCACUCCUGUCUCAUGAGCAGACCCAGCAGUAGGAUGCAAUGUGAGCUCUGCCUCAGCUUGGCACAUUUAUAAUAAUGCAUUUCUUUUCCCUGUGGAAAAAUGUUAUAAUAACCAUGUGGUUGUGGUUUUGUGUGUGUGGCACUUCUCCAUUAUAUGGCAGCUGGGGACAUGGUUUAGUGGUGAACACAGUGGUGCUGGUUUAAUGAGUACUUGAUAAACUUAGAGGUUUUUUCCCAACCUUAAGGACUCUAUGAUUAGUGUUUUCCUCAUCCUCAGGCCUUUUUUCAAAUAAACACCAGUAGGUUGCUGAUCAGUUCCCUCCUUUGGGGAAAGCAUGCUUUAGUGGUGAAGAGGCUUGACAAGGGCUCACAUCACCAGAAUUUCUGUGACCCCAGCCUAAUAAAUUGCUUGCUUUGCUCUUCGCCUUGGCUCCCCAAGCCUUUGGCCAUCUACCUUCUCCACAGGGUAGUGCAAAGAUAAAAUCCAUUUGUGAUUGAGUUGCUUGGAUACUGUUGGCGCUUGGGGCAAAAUUAAUAGUACAGAAAUAGAAAAAUGCAUCUUCUAGAGUCUUUUCUCUGGUCUCCAACCCUCCUCAUGUAAUUAACCAACCACUGUGUCUUUCCUUGGGCCAGUCCAACAUCCCAAGCUGCUGCCAAUCUGGUGUCCUCGCUCAGCAGUUCUCUACAGGACCCUGCAACUUCUCUCUCCAGCCAGCAGCUUUUAAUUGGGGGUGACCUGAGAAGUCAGGAUAUUUGGGUGGGUCGGCUUGUUACUAUGGCAGCACCUGACCUCCAAUCCAGAUUUAAGGAAGUAAACUCCACCACUGGACAGCCAAGAAGGAGCUGAUGGACAGAACUUUGGGGGGUGGGGGGCUAAGGGUUAAAAGGUGAAACCUCCAUUGUGUGGAUGAGCUCAUGGUGGGAAAAAAUUGUUUGCUCCUGGCACCCUAAUAUUUUCUCUAUUCAGUCUUCUGUUGUAUUUUUGAUAAAGCUUUAAUAAACCUUUUAAAUUUU